CUACUUGAAAAACUCAGUGACUGAUUAUCAGAAAUAAUCAUUAAAAAAAUUGUUUCUGAAUUUCUGUUUUAGCAGCUUUAGGAGCCAAAAUUAUCUCCUCACAGGAGGGUUGAAGUGCUUUCUAGGUGGAAAUGGAGCAGUCCUGGUGGUUAACGCUGGUUUUGCUGCAAGUUUUAGUUCAAUUUCACUUUCGCUUUGGUCUGCAAAUCUUUUUUUUAUGGUGUUGCUAAAACAGCUUGUUCCCCUGAUGUUGCCCUCAUCCUCCAGCCACAUCACAAACCCCUUGGUGUGAUUGCACAAACUUGGGAGAAGGACCCUUAUAUUAAGGUUCAAAGGGUGGAAACUGCAAUCAGUCUUCAUAUAAAGUCAUGACACAUUUUUCAUUCUUGUUGCAUAAGCAAAAAUGAAAAUGCAUAGCCAAAAUACAAAUGUUGUCUUCUCUUUUUGGGGUUUCAACAUUGAUAGCCUCAGAACAACACUAGAGCCCAAUCUACCUCAUUUUCCUAUGCAGAUUUUUCUUUUUCCACUUCUUUUUGCCUUUGGAUGUGGAUGCAUAGAUUCAUCUUCCAUGGGCCAUCUGUCUUCCUAGCAGAGCUUAGCGCUGUGACUGGUCUCGCCUGUCUAAACCUUAGCCCAGUAAGUACCUCCAAUCCCAUCUGUACUCAGUGGAACAAGGCAAAGACGGAGCAUCACGUUUAUCCAUUUGGAACUGAAAAAUACAAUUUAACACAAAGGCAAGUGUGCUUAACACGAGAGUUAUGUGUCUCUAUAAGUUGUGACCACUUGCUGAGACCAAUUGCAUUGACAUGGAGGAGUUCUCAAUUACAGAACUGUGUGGUUACUGUCUUGAUGCUUCCUGAGAACGUGUGCAGAGUUGCUCCAUACCACUACUGUGGCUUUUUGUGUGCCAUUACUUUAACUAAUAUUCUUGUGUGAACAUGAGAUCAGACACUUGAGCAACGUUGUUGAAUAGUUUUGCAAAGGAACCAGAUCCUUAAUUGGCAUUUAGGAGAACAAAAGCAAUGAAUCCAUGAAGUGAUAAGGGAAAAGUCACACUAGAUUUUGACCAUAAAUAACAUAAUAGAGUGGGAAAACGAGUAAGACAUGAGGCAUAGACAAUGGAAACAAUAAGUGAAUGAUAAACAAGAAUCUGCUGUGAUGUUGAUUGAACUACAAAGUGUGUGAAUCUGCAUGAUUUGGUGCUGCGAUGGGACUUUGUAUUGUGGUGUUACAUCUGCAGCCAGCUUGCGUUGCCUCUGGUGCUGAUCAUCGACAUUAAUAUAUGGACAAUGGGUUUCCAUAGACUCCAAUAACAAGUUUUUGUGCUAAAAUGGGAGUGGCCACCACCGCCAUUUUGACCGUGUCACAGGUUCCGUCAAGCCUAGACAAUUCCAUAAAAGGGAAGAGAGGAGGAGCUGAGAGUGGGGCUGGAAGGCUGGGAUCAACUGACGACACCUGGUCGAACUAGCUACAAGCUAACCUGAAGCUAACCCAAAGCUAACGCGGAGGUGGGAGCUGAGCUAACGGAUGUAGCCACCUAGCUACAACCGGAGCUAACUCUGUGGAACACCCAUCGACCGCAUGGAGUUCAGGUGGAGGUUUUCAGCGCUUUUUCAUGAGAAGUACCUUUCUGUGAAUAAAAAAUAUUAAAUCGGUAAGUUUAUAAGUUAUUUUUUACGUACCGUAUUUUCAGGACUAUUAAGUCGCUCCUGAGUCGCACCAGCCAUUAAAUGUAUAAUGAAGAAGAAAAAACAUAUAUAAGUCGUAUUUUGGGGGGAAAUUUGAUUUUUCUUACAAAAUCUGAGACAAAGCGUUUCACAUUGCAAGACAAGUACCGGUAACAAUAACUGAAUAAUGCGCCGCAGCAGCGCGCCACGGCCUCCAGCAGAAGAAGGCGGUGUUCGAAACCCUCCCAGCGGGACAGGGGAACUCAUUCUUGGGUCGGAGUCGGCCCGCAGCAGCGCGGUGUAGCCUACAUAUUUUGUUAUAUAAGUCGCUCCAUAGUAGCAGGACCGGCCAGACUAUGAAAAAAAGUGCGAUUUAUAGUCCGGAAAAUACGGUAGUUAUUAGUAUUUGAGAUAAAUUAGCAGGCUAAAUACAUUUCAUAUAUUUCCAAAACGUAAUACCUGUUUGUAUCUUGUACAGCCAAGUAGCCUUUAUUCUGGACUCAGUACAAUUCACCAAAAGUAAAGAGACAUUCUACAGAUGAAGUAAGCACAAGAUAACUUACUGGAAGAAACAGAAUUAUUAUCAUGAGAACCAGAACAAGACAGCCUGAUAACAGUCAUGUGAAAAUAACAGUUAAAAAGUAUGUAUGUGUAAUAGAAAUACAAAUAUAUUAGAAUUAGUGUAACUCACUGUGAGCCAAACAAUAAAUCAGCCAUAGCUGAUUAGCAAUCAUGAAAUGUGGUCUGGGAGUUUUUAAGUUUCAUUCUUUUAUUACAUUUUUUUCUUAGAUUUGUUUAAAGGUCACCAUGGCAGCCUGUGUGUCUCCAACAUCAGCUACACAACGCAGCAAGUCCAUUUGGAUCAUCGGUGACAGCUGAGUGAGGCGUGGUGCCCAGAGAGCUGCAGAGACCCUCUGACACAACCUUGGCCUCCCUGACGUCCGUGUCUCCUGGUUCGGUUGGGGCGGACUGAGGAGGAAAGACCUUCUCCCCUUCUUUUUCAACUCCAUGCAUGGAAGAGCAGCUCCUGAUGUCCUUCUCAUCCACUGUGGCGGCAAUGACAUGGGGGUGGUCAGCAGUGUGAAUCUGGAGGACAUGAAGGAGGACCUGCACCGGCUUCACCUUCUACACCCUCAUAUCACACUGUUGAGAACUGUUCUUCCUUCACAACCCAAUGUUCCACUCACUCUGCAGCUCUCUGGGCCCCUUUUAUUAUUUUAAGUAUUUUUUAAAUGUCCCGACACUUUGUGUCCUGUUAUUUUAUAAAAUGUGAUGUAAAAAAAUAAAUGUUUUUGCUCAAUUACUGGAAUUUCUUUGGUUAAGACAAAAAAGGAAGGAAGAACCUUUUAUGCCAAGUUGUUUCUACAACAGGCCCAUUUUAAGUCCAACAGAUUCUUAGCAGCCAAUAGAAAUGUUUUCUUUACUAACUUUACUUGGUUCAAAAAUCUUACUAAAAUAAACAGAGUGCUGUAUUUCAAAACCAAAUCAUACUUGUUAUGUAAAUAUUAGCUUUGUAGAUAUUUUUUACAGAUAGAUAUUUGUGUGCUAAAAAAACCCAUAAACUUAAAUAAUUUGUCAUUCUUUAUUGAAAAACAACAUAAUACAGGUAUACAGAAAGUGUGGGAAAAUGAUAAUGUGAAAGUAUUGCUCUUUAAAUGUAAUACUUAAUGUAAUGUAAUGUAAUACAUUGUUUGCCAGUCCACACCCCGCUCCCAGGUGUGGGCAAUUGGGGAGGAUUAACACAGAUGGGAUGCAAUGUUGCAGCAAUCACUAAAAACACCCAAACAGUUAAAAAUCAACCUAAAAGCACCUAAUCAAUUAGAAAACAUGCAAUAUAAAACAUAACAUAAGAACAUUAAACAUAAGAACAACAUUACCACUCUGUGACAUAUCACCACAUUAGCAUGUAAAUGCUGAACCAAUCUGGAAUAAAGAGGGAUGCUGACCAGUAGAGGUGGUUCACCACACUUUGCUUAUACGGUCUCACAUCCUGGGUCGUCUUUCUCUUCCCCAGCUCUUCGAUUUUCUUACCAAUUCCUGGAGAGCCAAAUAGACCCACAUUUAAAACAGAAAACAAAAUCCUGUAAUAUUCACUAUAUACAUCCCCAAAGAUUACCUUUUCCCAUGUGCCAGGGGUCAAAGUCGUGACUGAUUUCCUUUUUUUCCUCCCGCAAAUACUUCUGCACUCCUGUGUGGCGGUCAGUCACGACUUGCUGCACAUCAACCCCCCUCUCCAAAAGUGUGCUCAGACUUGGCACAAAUCCCUCCUUCUCCAUUCGCACACUAUUUCCAACUUCAUUGCUCUGAAAAUAAACAUAAUUCUCCAUUGAUCUGUGAAUAAUUAACCAUGAAAUAUAUUGGAAUCAUCAGGUAAUACUGUACAUGUACAAGUUGGAUAUCAAUAACUUUGUUUCUUUUGAGAUCCAUCAUGGUGUAGCUGCCAUAUUUGGCUGAGUGUCCUUCAAGAAAUGCAAGUUAUUACUUAAUUUACAUUUGAUAGCAAAUGAAUAAAAUAAAUAAAUUUAAACUUAUUCACCAGGUGAAUCAGCUCGCAUGUCACCACCAAGAGUCACAGGUCCAGAUUCAGUAGCCUCCUGGAUGAAAUCAGCUUGCCCUAGAUGCCACUGUUGGAAUUAACAGCUUUGUCUGAUGUCGACAGAAUGUCUGCUUGGACAGUCCCUGCACAUUGAAGGCACCCAGGAACUAAAAUAUGAAAAGUUACGUCAUGAAAUGAGAGAUGCACAGACCUUAUCAAAACUAACCUAAACAUUUUUGGCCUAUACCUUAGAAAUCUGGCUAAAUGAUGAGCCAGACUUUCUGGAAGAUGAAUUUCCAUCAUGGUCCCUGUGUCACAAGACACACAGCAGCUGGGAGCUCUAAACUGGGUGGCUAUGUAAAAAACAAAGAAACAGCACAUUUAUAAAUGUUUAAAAGAGCAUAAAAUCACGUUUAAACAAUAAUCUGUAAAACAAAUUAAAACUAGAAGGUGAUAAUAAAAUGUUUACAUAGAAGAUUAUUAAAAAUAAUUCACCUUUGCUACGGGUAAGGCUUCACGUCAGGCUGGACAAGUGCAUUCUUGCAGACUACUAAAUCAGUCUGACAGCCAGUGUCUUGGGUAGAUUUAGCCUGAAAAAAAAAUAGAACCACAUUGUUGUUGGAGUUUAUAAAGUCAGAUAAUAUACAAAAGAAACUGUCAGAUAUAGGCACUUUAUAACAUUCCUAGUGUGUGAUCGUUAUUAUAACAUAAAAGUCAGUCACAUAUGAUGUGGAGAGCCUGAAAUGCGACCUCCUGAACAGAAUUCCUUACAGAACUGGGUCACGCUGUAAUGAUGUCUGUCAACUAGUGCUGCGUUAGUUAGAGUCACUGUUCCAGAAUCGACUGACACAAAAACAACCUGAAUUUUCUCAGAGCCUGACAGUAAUAGUCAUGUGGACCAUUUCGCCGGCCAGGGCUUCGAGAUAUGUUCCGAUUCGCCGCUGAUUCUAACCUUACAUCCCGUUCCACAUUUUGUGAACUUGACAAAUUAGCCCGAAUGCAGUGCAGACUGAUGUUAGCUAAAUUAAGUUAACCCUGUCUCUCAAACUUUGCAUUUAGGUAGGGAAUUGAGCUGCAGUAUUUCUGCGGUCAGGUCUCUCUAUGAGUCUGAGAGCUCCACAAGCGGUCAGCCCCGUGCGAGAGCUCCACGAGCGGUCAGCCCGCGCAGCAGCUAGUAGGCACCCAUCGGUCAGACAUGCUGACCGCUGGGGAGAACCGGGUGGAAGAAUGGAACACAGAAGUGCCCCUCCAAGAGCUCCGUCAUAUUUCAACCCAUUUUUAUGUUAAAUGCACUGGGUUUUACCCUUUUACCCAUCGACAUAUGCCCUAUUAAUUAUUUUACCGUAUUUUACAUCUAAAUUUUAUGGUUAAACAGUACAUGCUACAUAUUAAAAUGAUAGUUAGCUAGCUACUUCGAUAAACUCAGCUAGUUUAAAGGCGGCAGUGACCUAAAAUACAAACAUAUAAUUUAACUUCCCGAAAAAAAUGAAUUGGAGACUCCUUGGAUGCUCUAUUAAUGUAAUUAAUGCCACAGCAAGUCAUUUUGUCCAACAAUUGCACAAAUAAUAUCCAAAACAGAAUACACAAACACAGAGACUCAAAAUCCCGAAACAGUUUCCAAGCCAGACCGAGGCUCUACUGAAGCCUUUCCACGGAGCUAGCUCUGUGGUCAUGUGGGUCUGAUGCUUAUUAAUUAUACAGAAUUUUAGGCUUUUAAUACACUUAAACAGAAGAGUGAGAACAAAAUUCAUUCCCCUCAGAGUUGUCAUGAGUGUAAACUAUAAAAUUUAAACCAAAAACAUGUUUUGGGACCAGGCUGUAAACAUGUUUAUUUCUGCUGUGAAAUUGGUAUUUUUAACAUGGGAGUCAAUGAGGAUUUGCUCGUUUCUGACACCAGCCCCCAGCGGAUGAGAGUGGAACUGCAAUUUUUGGUACUUCCGGGUUGAGACCACUUUCUGAGCCGCAUUGUGAGGGCUUGGUGCUGAUCUGACAUCUCACCUAGAGAAGGCUGGACGUUGUGUGUGUUAUAGGCUAGCUUUGACACUGUGUGCUCUGAGAACUCUCCUGUGGAUUCUUGCCUGUGCGCUUCCAUAUAUAUCUUGUGCAUGGAUGGAGUAUAAGUGGAUCGACACAACUCUUGUUCUAUUUGGUGACAUUGAUAUACAUUGUUUUUUUUUUCUUUUUCCUUUGAUUUUCAGCACGUUUUGAAGCAUUGUACCUCUAUCUCUUUGGUUGAACAUAUUUAAACAAUAAAGUUUGAUUGUAGAUGUUAGACGGGGCUGUGGAUACCUGUCAGUUAUAAGACUAAAUGUGUUGACCUCCAUGGUUGUGAAUUAAUUGUCAUUUAAAACACAAGUACUAGCAGAUCAUCUGGGACUUUACUUCCAAAAUCUGACCAAAGGGGCAAAUUCUUUCACUUUUCCCUACAUCUUUGACUUGUUAAUGGAUUUUACUUUAACUAUUCAGGAUUUCUGUCUGUAUUACUUCUUUUUGCUUCAUUUGGUUUGAUGACAUUGCAUUUGCUCUUUGUUUACAAAGGUUUGAACUUGGGUUUCUAUUAACGUCCAGGUUUGACAUGAUGUAGUCCACAUAUAUCAGAAUCAAGGCCCGCGGGCCAGUUGUGGCCCGCGAGAUAAAUAUAAAAAAUAUAUUAAAACUGGCCAGCUGGCCGAUUUUACAGCAAAUACUUCAACUCCCAUGAUGCUUUGCGGCGUCAGCGCGGAGCCGACGCGCCCCCUCCUUUGUGUUUUUUCCAGCGCCUGCUGCCGGUGUCUGCAGCUCCGCUGUCUCGGACAAACUACACUCCUCUCACUCAGCGCCGAGUUCACUCAGCUAUUUUCUGACGUCGAAGCCCAGAAACGGAGAUUCUAGCUGCUCAGUAAUGUGUUCACGACUGAAAGAGAAAGUUUUCCAACUAACUUCCAGACAGAGCUGAUAUAACUCCAGCGAACAGCGACACGCUCAAACCAGCACGGCUCUGUGGUCGCUGUCGUUGUGUUUCCUCCCCGACACACAACAACGUGGUCAAGCUGCUCAGACAUGUUCAUCAGCACAAACCUAUGUGAGCAUCUGUUGUCAUCUAAUGUUGUCAUUAUUAUGAUGAAGAUGAACAAAACAACAGGAGUCUCCUCCUCAGCUCAGAUCAAUCCCAUGAUGCAGGAAUCUGGCUGGAACAGGUGAGCAUCACAGUAAACCAGUGGAGCAAACUGAGCUUUAAAUAUGUUGGUUUUAUGCUCUUUUUCUGCUCCAAAACAUGAAAGUUAACAGGUGAGAUGUUGCAUUUUCAUUUAAGAUAAAAUGAUAUUUUUAUUUUGUUGUUGGCCCGUGAGAAAAGAUUUAAAACAUUUAAAAGAUUUAUAAAAUACUGAUUAUACCACAAGUAAUGAAUACCACUGAUGCCUUUUAUUUUAAACUGACUUGCUCGUGUGUAAUUUGGUUAUUCCACAUUCAGUGUUAAUGCAGAAAUAAGUUUGUUUCCAAAUUUAAAGGUUCAAAAUUGCAUAUAUGUUGAUAAAGAAAAUGUGCAAAUUUGCCGUCACUUUUUCAAAAAAUAUUAAGUUUGGCCCUCGACUCCGUCCCAGAGUUUCAUUUCGGCCCCGUGUGAGUUUGAGUUUGACACCCCUGAUGUAGUCAGUGAGCUAAACACUCAGUGUGCGUGGUUGUCACAUAGUCAGAUUUUCUUUGUGUGAGAAUAUUCCCUCUGAACGUGUGUAAGUUUCAUCACAGUCGCUGUAGGUGUGAGACACAUCCAUGACAGAAUCUGGUGUAAAAUGUGUUCUUCAUCACACCGCCAGGGGUGGACUGGCCUAUCAGGCCCCUCAGCGGAGUAGAGGCAACUCCAAGGAGCGAGCCCUCCCGCCUUCUGUCACAUUCAGCAGAACAGAGAAAACUCCACAUACACACACACACACACACACACACACACACACACACACACACACACACUCUCUCACACACACACACACACACACACACACACACUCAGCAGAAUAGAGACAACUUUGCGAGCAGCCCCCCCCCCUCGCUCUGAGGCAGACGGAUCAUAAAAAUGUAAGGGCCACAUUGUCGUCCCAGUACACUCCUGAGCAUCACCUGUUAAAGGGAAUUUAUGGAGUUUUGAAUUUUUAUGCUCGCGAUUGCCCCCUCAGGCCAAAAGUGUAACGGCAGCUUCAAUAGUAGGCUCGUGCACAGGGCGCGCAUGCUGUACGUGCACACUCCUUAACAAAAAUAACAGCUGAGAUGGUCAGCUCCGUGUGUGUGGCCCGGAGGACAGAGGACAGGAGAACGCGCAGCCAAUUAAUUAAAUAAUUUGGUUACUUUUUUCAUAACGUACGUGGUGCAUUUUACUUUACUUACAGCUGAAAACGGCUCGUGCUGCGUAAGUCAUAGCUUCCGCGCCGGUCGGGUUUUUUUUCCUCUCUCUCUGUCCUUUUCCUCAGGAUCCACUCCUUCUUUCCUAUUCACUCUCUCUCUCUCUCUUUCUUUACACUUUUUAAUCACAAUUGUCCAUUUUUGCUCAUUUUAAACAUAUUUUAAUCAUUUUCUAAAUUCUUUUUUCUAUUUUACAUGUUUUGUUUUUGUGAAGCACCCCGUGAUUUUUAUCUUGAGAGGCGCUAUAGAAAAGAUAUUUUCUUCUCUCUCUCUCUUAAUUCAUGCACUUAAAUAUUAAUGUUCUGAUUUUAUUGAAAAACUUGUUCUGUAAUAGUUCCUUUACUAUUGUGAUCAAAAACAUUUAAUCUCAACUCUGAGGCUGCUCUAAAAAUAGUUUUCAAAUAAACAAUACACAUAGCAACUUCUGAUCAGACUUAAAAUAACGUAUUGAUAUAAACCACACCCACUUCCGGGUUAGGUCACGCCUACUCCGAGUUCAGAUACAAAUAAUUUAGAUGGUUGAACAGAUACAGGUAGUGGUGUACUCGCUCAUCCCUAUUUAUAAGUAUUAUUUUAGGACGGUCAGUAAGAGUGAGACUCAUGAGCAGAAGCGAUUCAUGUCUUCCAGUGUGACGUGACAAAGACCUAAUUUGAUUCGGUCAGUUUGUGCUCAGACUGUGACAAAUGACAGCAGCUGUGUCGAGUCUUGGGCACUUUACUGAAAAUAUAACUCAACUUCUGUAUCAGAAUCAAGGUUCAUAGAACAUUAAAAAGAAAGGAUUAUUUCUUUUGUCUCUGCUUUGACGACAUUAUGUGCAUCCACGCAUGCGUGUGCAUGCUCAGGGAGGAACUGAAGACACGAGGAAUCCUGAGGUGUUGACUGUGGAGAUUAGAAAGGUAUUAAAGGAAAGCAGAGGGGCAGAAGGGAACGAAAUAUUCAAAUCCGUGUUUAAUUCUGCUGCAGAUUACUGAAUCUUUCAUCUGCGAAGGAGGGAUCGACCUGACGCUGCUUGACUUAGUCUGCACACGUGUGUGGGUGUGUGUUUGAGGCAUACAGACAGAAUGUACCGGAUGCAGCAUCCGCAUUUUAUUUCUCUAAGUAUAAGAAGAGGUUGUCUUCAAAAGUCAAAUCAGUUGUAGACGAGCUUCCAGUGAAGAUUAGGAGCCUGGGAAACACAAUUAAUAGAUCCAGAUCACUGAGGAGAUCAAAUACCCACAUUUUCCUCUCCCUUCAGAGGAUAAAAACAAUCUCUCCUUCACUAGAAUAAACAAGUGUGGCAUUUUGCCUGAGCAUAUUUGUCAGGUUUGACUAAUUAAUCAGAGGUGGUCGGUGUCAGCCAGGGCUCAGAAUAUCCUCUGUCAGAUGUGCAAAUUGAAUCUAAAUAAUGUGUUGGAUGAGUCAGAGGCAAUUUUCUCCAUUUUUGUUCAUGUGGGUUGAAAAAAGAUGACUGAUUGGAAUAUUUUUACUGCUCCUCUUUAGAAACAUAAAUCAUUUUAAAUUAGUCUCAUUGCAUACCAGAAAUCUUGUGUGCAUACUUGUUCGUAAAUGGCAUAAACAAAGAUGUUUUAUUUAGAGCUGACUUUGGUAAAGUUUCAUCAUCAUAGCAUUGCUUGUAAUUUAAAAACCUGCUGUAAAACAAAUCCUGCAAUAUUUACAAGUAUAUGCAUGAAUAUCCAAAUUUGAAAUGCAUGAGUUGUAACAUAAAAGGAAAAAUGUUUCAGUCUGGCUAUAACAGAUGCUGUGGUAGUUCCCCCCGUUUCCAGCAUCUGGUUUCAAUAUUUCAGAUUGAGGAAUUUGUUUAUAAAACAGGCCAAUACAAGUGAAUUGUUUGUUCUACUGAAGCCUGACUGAUAAAGUGAAUGUCAGAAAAAUCUAUGAAAUGGAACAAAUUGUUCAAUUAGAAAACCUAUUUAUGAAUGUUUCACUUAACACUCUCCCUCUCCUGACAUUAACAUUUUACUUUCUUUAACAUAGAAUGUGUUACUACAAGUUCAUCUGUUGAAUUAAUUAUAGAUUCACUUAGAUAAAGACAACAAAGUUAAUCUUUUACCAAAUAGAAUGGCCAUGUUCGAGUUGACCAGCGCCUCGCCUGGCAAGCAGACAAGAGCAGACAGAAGCAGCAGGGGGAGUGGCUGAAAGCCGGCGUUUAAGUCGGACAGAUUUCCUGACAUGAGUAGCUCGCGGGUGACGACGGAUGAAGAUAUCGCGUUAGAGUUCAUACUUGUUUAAUUAUCUAUUUUAAUUCUGGUGCCGGUUAGCAGCUGAAACACAUCCUCACGUGCUUGUGGAUAUCAUAUAUUGUAUAUUAAGACAUGACUGUAAUAAUAAGUAAAGGUUAUCAACUGUAGGUUCAGUGUGCUCAUAGGAAACGUGACAAAAGAAAACAAAACACAUUUCUCUUUAUGGCCUAUAUAGUUGUCAUCAUCAACGUAACAGGAUU